UACAGAGGUCUCAACCGUUGUUCGGAUUCAUUGGGCGUAAAGGGUGCGUAGGCGGUCGUGCAAGUCGGAUGUGAAAUCUCAGGGCUCAACCCUGAAACUGCAUUCGAUACUGCGUGGCUAGAGUGCUGGAGAGGAGACUGGAAUUUACGGUGUAGCAGUGAAAUGCGUAGAUAUCGUAAGGAAGACCAGUGGCGAAGGCAGCCUUCUGGGCCAACACUGACGCUCAUGCACGAAAGCGUGGGGAGCAAACAGG
rnacentral:rRNA from 1 species